rnacentral:rRNA from 1 species
UGAACGCUGGCGGCAGGCCUAACACAUGCAAGUCGAGCGGAUGAAAGGAGCUUGCUCCUGGAUUCAGCGGCGGACGGGUGAGUAAUGCCUAGGAAUCUGCCUGGUAGUGGGGGACAACGUUUCGAAAGGAACGCUAAUACCGCAUACGUCCUACGGGAGAAAGCAGGGGACCUUCGGGCCUUGCGCUAUCAGAUGAGCCUAGGUCGGAUUAGCUAGUAGGUGAGGUAAAGGCUCACCUAGGCGACGAUCAGUAACUGGUCUGAGAGGAUGACCAGUCACACUGGGACUGAGACACGGCCCAGACUCCUACGGGAGGCAGCAGUGGGGAAUAUUGGACAAUGGGCGCAAGCCUGAUCCAGCCAUGCCGCGUGAGUGAUGACGGCCUUAGGGUUGUAAAGCUCUUUCGCUAGAGAGGAAAAUGACGAUAUCUAGAGAAGAAGCCCCGGCUAACUUCGUGCCGGCAGCCGCGGUA